rnacentral:rRNA from 1 species
AGGAAUAUUGGUCAAUGGGCGCGAGCCUGAACCAGCCAAGUCGCGUGAGGGAUGACGGCCCUACGGGUUGUAAACCUCUUUUGUCGGGGAGCAAAUUCCGUUACGUGUAACGGAGUCGAGAGUACCCGAAGAAAAAGCAUCGGCUAACUCCGUGCCAGCAGCCGCGGUAAUACGGAGGAGGCGAGCGUUAUCCGGAUUUAUUGGGUUUAAAGGGUGCGUAGGCGGACUGUCAAGUCAGCGGUAAAAUACGGGGGCUCAACCUCCGCCCGCCGUUGAAACUGACGGUCUUGAGUGGGCGAGAAGUAUGCGGAAUGCGUGGUGUAGCGGUGAAAUGCAUAGAUAUCACGCAGAACUCCGAUUGCGAAGGCAGCAUACCGGCGCCCAACUGACGCUGAAGCACGAAAGCGUGGGUAUCGAACA